CCUACGUGUGGCAGCAGUGGGGGAUAUUGCACAAUGGGGGGAACCCUGAUGCAGCGACGCCGCGUGGGUGAAGAAGCGCCUCGGCGCGUAAAGCCCUGUCAGCAGGGAAGAAAAUGACGGUACCUGAAGAAGAAGCCCCGGCUAACUACGUGCCAGCAGCCGCGGUAAUACGUAGGGGGCAAGCGUUAUCCGGAUUUACUGGGUGUAAAGGGGGCGCAGACGGCGAUGCAAGCCAGGAGUGAAAGCCCGGGGCCCAACCCCGGGACUGCUCUUGGAACUGCGUGGCUGGAGUGCAGGAGAGGAGAAUGGAAUUCCUAGUGUAGCGGUGAAAUGCGUAGAGAUUAGGAAGAACACCAGUGGCGAAGGCGAUUCUCUGGACUGUAACUGACGCUGAGGCUCGAAAGCGUGGGGAGCAAACAGGAUUAGAUACCCUUGUAGUC
rnacentral:rRNA from 1 species